GUGGGGAAUAUUGGACAAUGGGCGAAAGCCUGAUCCAGCCAUGCCGCGUGUGUGAAGAAGGUCUUCGGAUUGUAAAGCACUUUAAGUUGGGAGGAAGGGCAGUAAGUUAAUACCUUGCUGUUUUGACGUUACCGACAGAAUAAGCACCGGCUAACUUCGUGCCAGCAGCCGCGGUAAUACGAAGGGUGCAAGCGUUAAUCGGAAUUACUGGGCGUAAAGCGCGCGUAGGUGGUUUUGUAAGUUGGAGGUGAAAUCCCCGGGCUCAACCUGGGAACUGCCUGCAAAACUGCAUGACUGGAGUACGGUAGAGGGUAGUGGAAUUUCCUGUGUAGCGGUGAAAUGCGUAGAUAUAGGAAGGAACACCAGUGGCGAAGGCGACUACCUGGACUGAUACUGACACUGAGGUGCGAAAGCGUGGGGAGCAAACAGGAUUAGAUACCCUUGUAGUCC
rnacentral:rRNA from 1 species